UUUUUUUGCAAUGAAAACAUAACAGCUUACAUCUGAACUAUCUAUGUAAAAUGAAGUACCUACAGAAGCAACCCUCAAGAAGUUACUAUUUCAUGACAAGAUAAUACAGUACAUAUUGCCAACUUUCCUAUUUUAUCAUAGAGCCUGAGGCAGCAAACAGUUCCAAAAGUGAAGAACAGUUUGUAGGCAAUUGCCGUCUGUCCUUCAAGGAUAGUUUUCAUUUCCAAACAGUACUAAAAAUAUUUGAAAUGUGGAUGGGAAUUAUUUUCAAUUCCUACACAGGAUUUUUUAACUCUCCAUGCUUAUCACUGGACAACACUUUCUUCCUCAAGGAGGUGAGUACAAAGCUUCCCCACUCAAUUACUCUUCUCCACUUUUUUCUGGACUGUAUGCAUAUUUUUAAAUCAGAGAGCCUUUGCCGCCCCACACCCUUAUCUCUGCAUAACACUGAUAUUAAUUUGGUCAAAUAUUUAACAUGACUGAUAGUCUGAAAAUUAGAUUCACAGUUAACAUUAAAGUAUUUGAAUAUGUUAGUUCAAAUACAGCAAAACAGCCACUAUCACAAAGAAAUUAAAGAAAAAUCUAACACUAUAGUAAGAAAAAACAAAACCAAAACAAAACAAAAAAACCAACCAACCAAACAAACAAACAAAAAACCCCAAAGGGAUUUAUUUCCUACCAAAGAUGAGCUAUGUUUUGGGUUUUUUUCCUUUAUAGAAUGGCCAGCUUCUGGCCGUACAGAUGGUUUCAUUCAUGGAGAGUUGCAUUCUAUCAGCCAUACCUACAGUUCCAGCAGAACUACUAUCACUUUCUCUAGAAUCACAUCAAUGUAAGCAUCUUCAGAAAUAUGUACCAAUCCUUCUCGAGCAAGUAGCUGGGAAAAUUAGGAUCUUCCUAUAUCACAGACUCUCAAAUACAGGUUUGAACUUCAAUAAUACUUGCUCUUUUAAUCCUUACAUACAUCAUGGUGCUAGAUAACACCAAACUGGAACUCACACAAGACUAUGUGACCUUCAUUACUGGUGAUACUCAAAAUGUAUGUUUAAGUCUCUGCACAACCUGAUCUAAUAUUAGCUCUGCUUUAAGCAGAUGUUUGGACCACAAAGCUCCAAAGUUUAAAGUCCAGAACUCUAUAGUUAGGUACUGAACUACUUUAUGAUUAUCAGAGAAGUAAGGAAGCCAAACUCCUAAAAAUGAGAGGGAAAAAUAGUAGCGUGGGAACUAAAAGCCACUAACAACACAAAACUAGUGUUCUGUUGAUGAAUGGUAGGAAGAAGAUCAGGUAAGUAUCUGACAUCUGUAUGGGAAAAGCUGGAAUCUGCCUGAAGGGGGGGGGGGGGGGGGGGAAAAAAUAUACCAAAUUUCACUGCUAACUACUUUUCUUUUUUGCUGAACCUGUACCUACUGGUAAUUUAAGCAGUUUCCAGAGCCAGACUGAAAGCACAAGCUCUGAAGUGAAAUUGCAAUAAUACUGAAGCCCCUAAACAAGACACUUUUGAAAGAUUGCAAAUGAAACUGCAAAAAGUGAAAUAAUUCCUUGAAGAAUCUUUUAUUAAUUUUAAACUAAUAAGUCAGAUUUAUAAUUAAGGCACUUGGCAGAUUUCAUUAUAACAGCUCAGAUAUGAAUUCAGUUCAGAUAUCCAAAGCUGCAAGGUAGAGGGCGAGGGGCAAGGAACUAACAAAAGAUAUGACUUCACACUUGGAAGAGAUUGAUAUGUGAUAUGGUAAACUGCAAAAAAUCACCCAGGACAAAAAGAUAAUGCUCAAAAAAAAAAAAAAAAAAAAAAAAACACCACACCAAAAAAAAAAAACAACCAAACAAAAAAACCACAAAACACCAAACCAAAAACCAAAAAAACAGAAACAAAACACCACCACCACCCCAAAAAAACAAAAACAAAAAAAAAAAAAAAA
rnacentral:lncRNA from 1 species